rnacentral:lncRNA from 1 species
AAAAUCACCUGAGAUUUCUACAAACUAGAAACCAUGGUAAACCCAGAAGAAAAGGCACUCCAGUUCAACCUUCUCUACAAAUGAAGGAAGGGGCAGCCAAUCUUACUUCUCCCAUAGACCAGACUGAAAGAUGGCUAAGAAUGUACUAAAGCACACUUCCACAUGUAGGCAUGGGCAUUUCUUGAAAGAACUGGCCUUGGGAGAGCAACUGAAGAGGAAAGAACCAUCCUGAAUUCAGGUAGUCAACAGCCUGGAUGUUCUCUUGGAAUAAGUGAAGUAAGAGAAUAUCAGACCAGAAAUUAGUAUUGAGGUUUCUCAAAAGGUUUGAAAGAGAAACACUACAUGGCCCACAGAUAUCACCCCUUGGUGUAUACCCAAAGGAUUCCAUUUCCUACUGUGAGCAUCCAAGCAUAUCCAUGUGGAUUGUUCUCUACUUACAAUAGAAGGAAAUGGAACCAGUAUAGAGACCCAUCAAUAGAUGAAUAGAUAAUGAAAAUGUAGUAUACAUACAUGAUGGAAUUUCAUUCAACUGUAGAGAAAAUGGAGUCAUUACAUGCGUAGGGAAGGGAAUUAAUAUGGAAGGUACAAUUUUUAAAGCUCACAGACAGUACAAUAGAUUUUAAAGUAAGACAUAGAACAGGGUAGGUGAAAAUCUGGGAUUCCAGGAGGGGAGGAGGGGGAAAAGUUAGAUAUGGAAUAGAAAUACACAGCUUACUAAGAAAGAGGUGAGAAAAUUUCUCUCCCAAAUGGAAGCAGGCUAGUGAGUUGAGGAAACAGCCCCAAUACAUCUGGCUGCAGUGUGUGGUCUUUUAUAGCCCCCAACUUGUCCUCUAUCAGCUUUAUUUUGUGCAUGCUUUGUUGGUUACCUGAUGCCCAGAUAAGGAAAGGCUUCAAGUUUCCCUUGGCAAGCUGGCUUCUUCCACGUGUUAUCUGGACACAUUCUUUUUAAAGUUACUACUAGUCUGUCAUAACUCUCGGGAGCUGUGGUCCUAAAAACAACUUUUUUCAGGAUAUAUAUAUCACAUAUAUUACACACACAUAUAUAUACACACAUACAUAUAUACAUAUAUACACAUAUGCAUACAUAUUUUAAGGAUGUGGUAAAAGAUUGGUAGAAGAAAUUAAUUGGAAGUUGGUGUGAAUUUGUGAGCACUGAGAACCAACAGUAUCAAAUAUAUAUAAAAGAAAACCAGAGCAUAGAGUUACAUUACUGACAGAUGUAAACAAUCUGUCUAAACGGAGCUUAUCCUUAUAUUGUAGCUGGAGUUACUGUCAUUGUAGCAUCUUAUGUGUUAGAAGUUCAUAUAUAUGAUUCAAUGCAAAGACAUGCACAAGGCCAAAGUUUCCAUUCAUCCCUUUUAUAAGCUACUUUAUCAUUGUUCUCUUUUGCACAAAUCAUCAUAGUCUUUGGUUAUAUUUUCCUGCUUUGUGUUUAAUAAUGUACAGAUGACCAAAAUUAAUAUUUUGCUCUGUUUUGCUUUGCUUUGCUUGGUUUUGUUUUACUGUCAAAAGCAGAUGAGUGUCUGGGCUUGGAAUGAGUCUUUUUGCCCCCAUUACUUCUUUCUAUUUUAGAAUUUUCCCCCCUCUAUUUCACCUGUUGAGAAUGAGACAGAGGCAAUGUUUACCAUGGCUGGGCUUGCAUUUCCACUCUGCAGUGAUCUUCCUCUUGGCAACUGUACACUGGUUAGAGCACACCUAACAUGGUCUCCAUGGCUUUUUUGUACAAAAGGACAGGUGAUUCUCCAGAACUGUAGAACAUGGAAAGGUGGGUGGGAUGGCUAGAGCUUGGCUGAUAUUAGAAGAAAGAGGUAAAAAUACAAUUUCUUUUCUCCCUAUCUCAGCUUCCAACCAUACACAGAAGGUCAGUUACACCAAUAUAGAAAAAAAAUCAUGUUUUAAAAUUCAGCUAUUAUAUAAAUACUAAGGCAUACCUUGACAGAGACAGGUUUCUGUCUUGAGCUUACGCAGGGCUCAUGCAUGCUAUCAUAGCUCCUAUGAGUUUACAUCAACCCCUGCCUUGCUUCAUUCAGGAUAAGUCGUCCUCAUAUAGGAUAACUUUAUUUCAAGUCUUUUUAUGUAUGUGCAUAUAUAUAUACAUACACACACACACACACACACACACACACACACACACACACACACAUAUAUAUAUAGUGGCUAUUCCUGGUUGUCAACUUAACUAUAUUUGGAAUGAACUACAAUCCAGAAUUGGAAGGCUCACCAGUGACCCUUAUCUGGAGGCUUGGAGAUCCUUAUCUGGAUCUUGGUAUGGAAAUCUUGAGCCAUAGUGGCUAUGGAUUCCAGAAGAUUAAAUCUCCGAGUUUAAGGAACACACCUUUAAUCUGCGCUACACCUUUUCAUCUGGGAUUAAGGAUGUGGUGGAACACACCUUUAAUCUGGGCUACACCUUCUGCUGGAGACAAUAUAAGGACAUUGAAAGAAGGGAGUCUAGCUCUAGCUCUUGCUCCUUUGCCUGCUUGCUGUGUGAGACUGAGUAACUGCUAGAUCCUUGCACUUCCAUUCACAGCUGCGACUGAACCAUUGUUGGGAAUUGGGCUGCCGACUGUAAGUCAUCAAUAAAUUCCUUUAUUAUCUAGAGACUAUCCAUAAGUUCUGUGACUCUAGAGAACCCUGACUAAUACAAUAUAUAUGUGUGUGUGUGUAUGUAAUAUGUAUGAUUUUG